UUGGGGGUCCCAGGGGGGCCGUCAGUGUCUUGGAGGGGGGGGGGGGGCGUCACGUCCCCAGGGGACCUGUCACCAUCCUGAGGGACCAUCGCAGCCCCAGGGGACCCAGAUCCACCCAUCCUCGAGGUGGGAGCAGGACCUCAGGGCUCCCGCUGCUGUCCCGGCGUCCCUGCGGGCUGCCCCACGCGGAGGGCAGAGCCCCACCAUCCCCUCGCACGAACGCGACCGGCUCGGCUCACCCGCCGCCGGCACCCCACGAGGAGUCCCCGCGCCCUGGCGCGCUCCCCGCGGCAGCACCUCCGUCCACCGAGGCCAUCGCAGCCCUAGAGACCCCCCCCCCGAGAGGAGCCACCUGCCCCUGGAAGCACCCACAGAUGCCACCUGGGGCUGUUCUCCAAGGUGCAAUUCAUCGGUGUCUUGUGGAGCGCGCGCUGCGUGCGUGAGCGGUACCGCCAGCCCCCGGAGCCGAGCUUUCCCUGCUGCCCCUCGACGCCUGCUGCAACGUGAGCCGGGCGAUUGCUCAGCCGCAACCCGCCUGUGCCAGGUUUCGCUGAAACAAGCAGUUUGUGCAGGAGCAGCAGUACCCUCCAGAGGGUGCCGUUUGGUUGUCGCAGAUCGCGGCGGUUCAGGUUCGUUGUUUUUUCCGCCCGUUCCCUUCCACGCCGCAUCACGACACAUGGUCGGCAUCAGAAUGGCUCUCCGCGCUUCACAAAGUCAUCGGCGUAGCUGAGGCAAAAUGUUGCAGGUCCAUGUAAUUUUUAAAGCCGUGACACAUCUGGAGAGAUCUGACGGGCUAGAGGGCAUGCCAGUUGUCACUGGGAAUCAGGAAAUUCUUCAUGGCACUGCCUGUGCCAAUGAGCAUGGGUGAAUUGCUUUGAUUUCCCAUGCCUCAGUUUCCACAUCAGUAUAAGGGACAUGGGGAAUUUGGACAUGAGAGUAAACACACUUGGAAAGCCAUGAAAAUACUCUUUCAAGUUAGUGGGAUGAAAACUUCAUGUUCUGGACUUCUACACUUCAAGGAGAGGAAUCUGUUUUCAGAGGAAAAGCUGUGUAUUUUUCUUAUUUAAACCUUCUAAAUCUGCUGGAGCAUUAAAAAAUAUUUGGCAUUUCCACAGCACAUUUCAUUCCCAGCUCCAAAUGCAUUUUACAGACGCUCAUUAAUUAAGCCUCAUAAAACCUUUGGGAGAGAGGGAA